UUACUACUCCCUCCGUCCGGAAAUACUUGUCCUCGAAAUGGUUGUAUCUAGACUUAUUUUAGUUAUAGAUACAUUUCAUUUUAUCCAUUUUGAGGACAAGUAUUUCCGGACGGAGGGAGUACUAC
rnacentral:pre_miRNA from 1 species